rnacentral:rRNA from 1 species
CUUACACAUGCAAGUCGAACGGUAACAGCACUUCGGUGGCUGACGAGUGGCGGACGGGUGAGUAAUACAUCGGAACGUGCCCGAUCGUGGGGGAUAACUACUCGAAAGAGUGGCUAAUACCGCAUACGAUCUACGGAUGAAAGCGGGGGAUCGCAAGACCUCGCGCGGACGGAGCGGCCGAUGGCAGAUUAGGUAGUUGGUGGGAUAAAAGCUUACCAAGCCGACGAUCUGUAGCUGGUCUGAGAGGACGACCAGCCACACUGGGACUGAGACACGGCCCAGACUCCUACGGGAGGCAGCAGUGGGGAAUUUUGGACAAUGGGGGAAACCCUGAUCCAGCCAUGCCGCGUGCAGGAUGAAGGCCUUCGGGUUGUAAACUGCUUUUGUACGGAACGAAAAGACUCUUUCUAAUACAGAGGGUCCAUGACGGUACCGUAAGAAUAAGCACCGGCUAACUACGUGCCAGCAGCCGCGGUAAUACGUAGGGUGCAAGCGUUAAUCGGAAUUACUGGG